CCUACGGGAGGCAGCAGUGGGGAAUAUUGGACAAUGGGCGCAACCCUGAUCCAGCAAUUCCGCGUGAAGGAAGACGGCUUUCGGAUUGUAAACCUCUGUUUUUAGGGAAGAAUACUCACGUAAGCUAAGGAGCAUGCCAGGACUAACCACGUGCCAGCAGCCGCGGUAAUACGUAGGUGGCAAGCGUUGUCCGGAAUUACUAGGUGUAAAGGGAUCUCAGGCGGUCAGCGAAGUCAGAGGUGAAAACUACGGGCUUAACUUGGAGACUGCAGUUGAUACUGGUUUUCUAGAGAGAAGUAGCGGUUGGCGGAAUGCCGAGUGUAGCGGUGAAAUGCGUAGAUAUUCGGAAGAACACCGAUGGCGAAGGCAGCCAACUGGGCUUUAACUGACGCUGAGGCUCGAAAGUGUGGGGAGCAAACAGGAUUAGAUACCCUUGUAGUC
rnacentral:rRNA from 1 species